CUUAACUGGAGUAUCAUUGGGGUUCUCGUCUUCAUUUUCACUCCCGCUUAUUUUUCUCUUGUUCUCGCCCUUUGAAUCUGAAGCCUGCCUGCCUGCCUCGUGGAAGUUCUUGCAUAACGUGGUUGAGGUCGGAGUGACGGAUUCAAUUUCGGGCUACAUCUCCUACAUCACAGUUGGGUGUUGUUUAUGGUGGCUUACCUUUAAUUCUUUGUUUGCCGGGCGGCCUUAUUAACCUUAAUAGCAGGUCAUGGAUUUCGGUUUGACCGACUCCUACCGUAGGAUAUUCAUCUUGUAUCUUUUGCAUCCACCACUUUGAGUUGGACUUUGUUAGAUCUAUGCAUUAAUUACACGAUAGUGUUUUAUACUGAUUUUGGUUUUCUUCUCCUAUGUUAUGUAAAAAUCCAAGAAUCAUGAAUGAAAACUAUUUUUCACAAAA